CAGGAGGAAGCAGCCGCAGCCUGAGCGCAGCAUCUGCCAGGGAAACUGUGCGCCCCAGGUCAGCUAGUUAACUAUUUCAUCCCUCCCCACCACUCUUCCCUAGGCCAAGUAUUUGCAGCACGGGCAGGGACCAGUAACUGAUUUUCAGGCCUUUUGAGAGGAAGAGGAAGAGAGAGGAAGAGAAGGAUUUCUAAUAGUAGAUAUUCACUGUCAUGGACUCUUUAGGAAACAGCAACAAAGACAAGAUUAACCCGAGACAAAGAGAUCUUUACAAAGUAUCACAUACCCUAUUGCUCCUCUACAAAACCUUUCAGAACAGGGGAACAGGAUGGCUUCUGCCUUCACCUACCAUUCUCCCCACAGGAACACCAAAUUGUGUGACUAUCCACACAAAAAAGCAUCUUCAUAAGAACCAAAAAUCAGGUAAGCCAUCACAGUACGCUAUUUUAGUUUUAUAUCACUGAAAGGGACACCUAAGAAGGUAGAAAAGACAGUCUUGAAUUGCUGAUGCAACUCCUCCCCCAUCACCCCAACACUCCAGCAGCAGUGGACGCAUGGCGUGGAGUGAGAAUCUGUGUGCUUCGGUAAGGGACAGCAAAGGGAUUGUGGGACUUGGCAUUGUCCUGCCCUGCCAUAGUGGAAAGCAACACCAGGCAGAACUCAGUCAGCACCCACGGAGGGAGCAUUUAGACCAGGCCUAGCCAGAGGAGAAUUGCCCAUCCUAGUGUUCAAAAGUUUAGUUCUUGCAAGUCUCACCAACAUGGGCUAAACAGCUCUUGGGUACUAAAGAAACUCAAAA
rnacentral:lncRNA from 1 species